rnacentral:rRNA from 1 species
AUGGUGGCUAACCAAAGAAAGAGAUGCCUCUACAAAAGUUCUCUGAGAGCUGCUACUAGAAGGAAAAAAUCAAGAAAGAAUCCACUCCAUGAUCUGCCUGAGGAAAUUUUACAAAUAAUAAUAUCACGACUAACAUUGAAAGAUGCUGCACGGAUGAGUACGCUGUCCAGGAUGUGGAAAACGUUAUGGAACUCUCACUCUAAUCUCAGCUUUGAUGCUGCCAUGGUAACACAUUCCCAUUCAAAUGGAGAUGGGCUGGAAAGCAGAAGCAGCCAGGAGAAAAAGUUUAUCGAUAUCGUCAAUACGGUGUUGCGCAAUCACGAUGGUACAUACCUGGACCAGUUUAAAGUAGCCUUUGAGCUCCGUGCGAAGCACGCUUGUUCUCUUGACAGCUGGAUUGGCUUUGCAGUUUCUUCAAAGGCGAGUGAGAUUGUGCUCGACCUUGAUCCGAGAUCGCCACGCACAGCUGAAGACGCUUAUGAUUUCGCGUUUCAUCUUUUUCAAAGUGAAAACGGUAUCCAAUCUGUUUGGGUCCAUUGUGUUUCUUUAAAGCCACCUCGCGACUUUUAUGGAUUCACAAAGCUCACGAAGUUUGCGAUUAGCUCUGCGCAUAUCAUGGAAGAUAUUGGGAACUUGCUCUCGAAUUGCUGUGCUCUCAGGUGGCUGCACAUCAUCUGUUGCAACUUUGGAAAGUUAAAGCUGCAUGGCACAUUUUACCGCCUGCAACAUUUGUGUGUUAUAUAUUCCGAGCUGCAAGCAAUCGAGUUACAUGCCAUAGGUCUGGUGACUUUUAAAUAUGUGGGGCAGCCACUACCUAUUGUGUUUUACCGAUCCCCAAAGCUUAAAAUGGCAGAUAUCAAGUUGUGCCCAUAUUAUCACUUUGGAUAUGUCUGUAGUGAGCUCUCUACAGCGCUGCCUUGUCUGGAGGAGUUAUACGUGGAUGUGUGGUUAAAACCAGAGGUUUGUCAUUCCACUAGAUAA